GGAUGUAGGGCUAUCUGGUUAUGACAUCUGUCACCUCAUUGAUCACCAGCAUUGAUUUUUCGACUGAUCUGGCUGGCUAGGCUGACCAACCUGGAUCUGAUCUGACUGACCACCCUGGAUAGAGGAGGACCGUUUCCUCAGUUAAGGGAAUGAGUAGCUGUGCUCCCCUGCUAGAACCUUCAAACAAGCUCUAAAAAAAGGCUAGUAAUAUAAUGGGAAGGACUUGUGUUCAAUCCCCAGUACCUCUCAAAAAAAGGAAGUCCUCCAUCAUGU
rnacentral:snRNA from 1 species